rnacentral:sRNA from 1 species
AAACUUCAGAUCAAAAAAUGCGGAAAUAGAAACCUUAUGGCAACAGCACACUCAAGAUGAAGCCAAACUUCAGAUGUAUGCCAAUGCUAUGUACCAACUUGCUACUCAGCACUGGUCAAAGCAUGCAGAAACACGAAUAGAUUGGUGUCAUAGAAUUGCAGUUGAUUAUUUUCUUUAUGAUGGUUUGAAAGCUGCAUUGGAGAAGGAUAAGAAAAGAAAAUACUAUAUGGAUUUAAGAGCCCAAGCUAAGGUAUUUAAAUUUACAUAGCUCACUCCAUCUUUUUUUAUAAAAUCUUUU